rnacentral:tRNA from 1 species
GGGGUCGUGACUCAGUGGCAGAGCACUCACCUGGCAUGUGUGAGGCACUGGGUUCAAUCCUCAGUACCACA